AUUGAACGCUGGCGGCAGGCCUAACACAUGCAAGUCGAACGAGUGGCGGACGGGUGAGUAAUGUCUGGGAAACUGCCCGAUGGAGGGGGAUAACACCUGGAAACGGUAGCUAAAACCCCAUAUCCCCGGAUGUGCCCACAUGGGAUUAGCUUGUAGGUGAGGGAUCGGCUCACCCAGGCGACGAACCCCAGCUGGUCUGAGAGGAUGACCAGCCACACUGGAACUGAGACACGGUCCAGACUCCUACGGGAGGCAGCAGUGGGGAAUAUUGCACAAUGGGCGCAAGCCUGAUGCAGCCAUGCCGCGUGUGUGAAGAAGGCCUUCGGGUUGUAAAGUACUUUCAGCGGGGAGGCGUUACCCGCAGAAGAAGCACCGGCUAACUCCGUGCCAGCAGCCGCGGUAAUAC
rnacentral:rRNA from 1 species